rnacentral:rRNA from 1 species
AACGAACGCUGGCGGCAUGCCUAACACAUGCAAGUCGAACGAGACCUUCGGGUCUAGUGGCGCAAGGGUGCGUAACGCGUUGGAACCUGCCCUUAGGUUCGGAAUAACUCCCCGAAAGGGGUGCUAAUACCGGAUAAUGUUUCCGGACCAAAGAUGUAUCGCCUUUGGAUGGGCCCGCGUUGGAUUAGCUAGUUGUUAGGGUAAAAGCCUACCAAGGCGACGAUCCAUAGCUGGUCUGAGAGCAUGAUCAGCCACACUGGGACUGAGACACGGCCCAGACUCCUACGGGAAGCAGCAGUGAGGAAUAUAGGACAAGGGGCGAAAGCCAGAUCCAGCAAUGCUGGGUGAGUGAUGAAGGCCUUAGGGUUGUAAAGCUCUUUGACCCGGGAUGAUAAUGACAGUACCGGGAGAAUAAGCUCCGGCUAACUACGUG